GUAGGGUGCAAGCGUUAAUCGGAAUUACUGGGCGUAAAGCGUGCGCAGGCGGUCCGCUAAGACAGAUGUGAAAUACCCCGGGGCGUUAACCUGGGAACUGCAUUUGUGACUGGCGGGCUAGAGUAUGGCAGAGGGGGGUAGAAUUCCACGUGUAGCAGUGAAAUGCGUAGAGAUGUGGAGGAAUACCGAUGGCGAAGGCAGCCCCCUGGGCCAAUACUGACGCUCAUGCACGAAAGCGUGGGGAGCAAACAGGAUUAGAUACCCUGGUAGUCCACGCCCUAAACGAUGUCAACUAGUUGUCGGGUCUUCAUUGACUUGGUAACGUAGCUAACGCGUGAAGUUGACCGCCUGGGGAGUACGGUCGCAAGAUUA
rnacentral:rRNA from 1 species